rnacentral:rRNA from 1 species
GAGUAACGCGUGAGGAACCUGCCUCAAAGAGGGGGACAACAGUUGGAAACGACUGCUAAUACCGCAUAAGCCCACGACCCGGCAUCGGGUAGAGGGAAAAGGAGCAAUCCGCUUUGAGAUGGCCUCGCGUCCGAUUAGCUAGUUGGUGAGGUAAUGGCCCACCAAGGCAACGAUCGGUAGCCGGACUGAGAGGUUGAACGGCCACAUUGGGACUGAGACACGGCCCAGACUCCUACGGGAGGCAGCAGUGGGGAAUAUUGCACAAUGGGGGAAACCCUGAUGCAGCGACGCCGCGUGGAGGAAGAAGGUCUUCGGAUCGUAAACUCCUGUUGUUGAGGAAGAUAAUGACGGUACUCAACAAGGAAGUGACGGCUAACUACGUGCCAGCAGCCGCGGUAAAACGUAGGUCACAAGCGUUGUCCGGAAUUACUGGGUGUAAAGGGAGCGCAGGCGGGAAGACAAGUUGGAAGUGAAAUCUAUGGGCUCAACCCAUAAACUGCUUUCAAAACUGUUUUUCUUGAGUAGUGCAGAGGUAGGCGGAAUUCCCGGUGUAGCGGUGGAAUGCGUAGAUAUCGGGAGGAACACCAGUGGCGAAGGCGGCCUACUGGGCACCAACUGACGCUGAGGCUCGAGAGUGUGGGUAGCAAACAGGAUUAGAUACCCUGGUAGUCCACACCGUAAACGAUGAUUACUAGGUGUUGGAGGAUUGACCCCUUCAGUGCCGCAG